rnacentral:rRNA from 1 species
CCCUACGGGAGGCAGCAGUAGGGAAUCUUCCACAAUGGGCGAAAGCCUGAUGGAGCAACGCCGCGUGGGUGAAGAAGGUCUUCGGAUCGUAAAACCCUGUUGUUAGAGAAGAAAGUGCGUGAGAGUAACUGUUCACGUUUCGACGGUAUCUAACCAAAAAGCCACGGCUAACUACGUGCCAGCAGCCGCGGUAAUACGUAGGUGGCAAGCGUUAUCCGGAUUUAUUGGGCGUAAAGGGAACGCAGGCGGUCUUUUAAGUCUGAUGUGAAAGCCUUCGGCUUAACCGGAGUCGUGCAUUUGAAACU